AACUGAACUUCAAUGGCUUGGAGGUCUUCGUCGUUGAACAGUUCGUAGUCCCAGUCGAAUAUAAAAGAGAAGGUGGUGACGGAGUUUGUAUGGUUGCGGUGGUGGUGUUCGUGUUCUCGGAAUGGGUGGUGGUGGUUGUCCAUUUAGGCCAUUCCUUCCGUCUCUGCCUCUGGGUAUUUCUCGGGAAUGGAAGAAAAUUCGAAUUGGAGGGAAACCCUCACUUUUGAAUUUUCGAAGCAAGUUAAUGCGCGCAAGGCUUUAAAGUCGGGUGUACGGCAAGGACCUGUUUGUUUCACGGGACUGGCCGGGGCUGGCCAGGACUGGACACAGUCCCAGUGAAACGUUUGGACACCAAAAACAGAAAAAGGGACAAGCUGUCCCAAAUUAAAAAACAAACCGGUUAAUUUGGGAGACAAUUGUGCUGCUGGUUUCCAUGGGUCGUGACCUGACAAUCUCACUUUGAAACCCUAUAUUGAAAGUUCUUCUUCUCAAUCCUGCUCUUCUUCUUGUCUGAGACACGAGUUUGACAAAAACUGCCUCCUCCACACCAAUCAUCAAAGACAGAGGUAUGGAUCGAAGGAAGGUUGCUACGUUCUUCUUGCUUGCCAAUGAUUUAGAAUUAGAAUCUUUUUGUAUGUGUUUUAUGAUGGUUUUGCUUAUGUAUAUGUAUGUAUCAUGGCGAAUUAGAAAUGAAGACUUUAAUGAACCGUUUACACAAUCCCAAUCAAGAAGAAAGAGGAAGUCCAGACUAGAAGAUAACGAUCUUGCAAGAGCGUUUGGUGAGAUAACGUCUCGAUUAUUUAAUAAAUUGUUUGAGAAGUUUGAAAAAUCUGAGAUUAAUUAUCCAAAAUACUUAGCUGUGGAGCUUGAAAGAUUAGGAUUUUCUGUUACUGACAACCUCAAAAUUUCGAAGGCGAUGAGAUUGGAUCCAUCAAACGUAGAGGUCUUUAAGAUUAUUAAAACGGAUGUGGAGAAGAUUGAAUUUGCUACUGAAUUUUUAGAUAACUAAAGUAGUACUGUUAUAGAUUAUAUAUUUAUGUUUAUGUUGGAGGAGAUGACAUUUAGAAGCAAAAACUUAUGGACAUGUUAUAUUUUAAUGUAUAUUGGUUUAUUAUUAUGCAUUUAAAGACAAAUUUAUGAUUAUAA